AGUGAACGCUGGCGGUAGGCCUAACACAUGCAAGUCGAACGGCAGCACAGUAAGAGCUUGCUCUUACGGGUGGCGAGUGGCGGACGGGUGAGGAAUACAUCGGAAUCUACUUUUUCGUGGGGGAUAACGUAGGGAAACUUACGCUAAUACCGCAUACGACCUACGGGUGAAAGCAGGGGAUCUUCGGACCUUGCGCGAUUGAAUGAGCCGAUGUCGGAUUAGCUAGUUGGCGGGGUAAAGGCCCACCAAGGCGACGAUCCGUAGCUGGUCUGAGAGGAUGAUCAGCCACACUGGAACUGAGACACGGUCCAGACUCCUACGGGAGGCAGCAGUGGGGAAUUUUGGACAAUGGGCGCAAGCCUGAUCCAGCCAUACCGCGUGGAUGAAGAAGGACUUCGGGUUGUAAAGCCCUUUUGUUGGGAAAGAAAAGCAGCAGGUUAAUACCCCGCUGUUCUGACGGUACCCAAAGAAUAAGCACCGGCUAACUUCGUG
rnacentral:rRNA from 1 species